CGCCCUCACGGCUCCGGCCGAGGCCUGCAGAGGGUACAGCUGCGGCUCGGUAAAUACAGCCGGCAGUAAAGACCCACACCCACACACGUGCUCAUCACAUUACCCCGACACGCCUCGGAAUGCAGAAAACAAGCUAAUUUAAAAAGAAAGGAUGGUAAUAUUCUUAAGAGUCAAUACAGACAUUUCAGCAGACAGCAUCAGUGAAGCUGACAUCACCAAGCAACAACACCUUCUCCUGGCCCAUGACACACCUGCAGGUCCUUCAUAAAAGAUUCCAUUACUACCACGUGUAAUCUAACCUCGAAGUAUGACACAAUUAACUGCUGGAAGUUUUAAACUCUCAUUAGAGCAUUCAGGGUAUGAUGCAACAAAGCUGCUAAAACAGACACAGGCUCUAAUAUCCUAGUGGACUGCAGUUUGGAGUGUAGCUGCUGUCUCUCAGUACAACGUUCCUCACAGCAACUGGGGCUGUUCUUCAUUUGUUUACUGAAGGUAAAGGAAAAAAACAUACCAAAGUGUGUUGUUAUGAACAAGGUUACAGAUUAUUCUAGCUAGUUCUACCCUUUUUGGAAUAAAAGUUCUUCAGUCUG